rnacentral:rRNA from 1 species
CGCUAGGACGAACGCUGGCGGCGUGCUUAACACAUGCAAGUCGAACGGAAAGGCCCUGCUUUGUGGGGUGCUCGAGUGGCGAACGGGUGAGUAACACGUGAGUAACCUGCCCUUGACUUUGGGAUAACUUCAGGAAACUGGGGCUAAUACCGGAUAGGAGCUCCUGCUGCAUGGUGGGGGUUGGAAAGUUUCGGCGGUUGGGGAUGGACUCGCGGCUUAUCAGCUUGUUGGUGGGGUAGUGGCUUACCAAGGCUUUGACGGGUAGCCGGCCUGAGAGGGUGACCGGCCACAUUGGGACUGAGAUACGGCCCAGACUCCUACGGGAGGCAGCAGUGGGGAAUAUUGCACAAUGGGCGGAAGCCUGAUGCAAGCAACGCCGCGUGCGGGAUGACGGCCUUCGGGUUGUAAACCGCUUUCGCCUGUGACGAAGCGUGAGUGACGGUAAUGGGUAAAGAAGCACCGGCUAACUACGUGCCAGCAGCCGC